CGUAGGUGGUUGAUCGCGUCGGAAGUGUAAUCUUGGGGCUUAACCCUGAGCGUGCUUUCGAUACGGGUUGACUUGAGGAAGGUAGGGGAGAAUGGAAUUCCUGGUGGAGCGGUGGAAUGCGCAGAUAUCAGGAGGAACACCAGUGGCGAAGGCGGUUCUCUGGGCCUUUCCUGACGCUGAGGAGCGAAAGCGUGGGGAGCGAACAGGCUUAGAUACCCUGGUAGUCCACGCUGUAAACGGUGGGUACUAGGUGUGGGGUCCAUUCCACGGGUUCCGUGCCGUAGCUAACGCUUUAAGUACCCCGCCUGGGGAGUACGGCCGCAAGGCUAAAACUCAAAGGAAUUGACGGGGCCCCGCACAAGCGGCGGAGCAUGCGGAUUAAUUCGAUGCAACGCGUAGAACCUUACCUGGGUUUGACAUGGAUCGGGAGUGCUCAGAGAUGGGUGUGCCUCUUUUGGGGUCGGUUCACAGGUGGUGCAUGGCUGUCGUCAGCUCGUGU
rnacentral:rRNA from 1 species